rnacentral:rRNA from 1 species
GAGACCCUUGCCGGUAAUUGCUAGCUGCGAUCGCAAUAUCGCGGAGGCUAGUUACCGGGACUGCCGCUGCUAAAGCGGAGGAAGGAGAGGGCCACGGCAGGUCAGUAUGCCCCGAAACUCCUGGGCCACACGCGGGCUGCAAUGGUAGGGACAGUGGGUCCCGACCUCGACAGAGGAAGGCAAUCCUCAAACCCUACCCCAGUUGUGAUUGAGGGCUGAAACCCGCCCUCAUGAAUAUGGAAUCCCUAGUAACCGCGUGUCAUCACCGCGCGGUGAAUAC